CUCUCUGAAUCUAGAAGUUUGUGCCCUUCAUGCUCCUAUAACGCUGACCUGAGGGCAGGGGGGAGAGCAGUGAGGAACCAGGAUGACGGGUGUCCUGAACGAUGAUCCCUGCCUUCCUGAGAUGGCGAGUUGUAAAAAUGUCCACAACAAAGGGGAGCUGUACUCCAGUGAUGGACCGGGCUGACCCGACCACCCUCUGUGACACCUUCCGGUCAGACAGCGAGCCGCUGCCAAACCACACUGUUAUCCCACAUGAGAACACGGUCUCGAUAGCGCACCUGUCACAUGUGGAUAUGUCACACAGUUCACUUGGACAGCAGGCUGGAAUGGAGAAACAACACAACCGUCAUGAGAUAUCACUGCUGAACAGCACAACGCAGCACAACAGCAGCACAACAGCAGCACCCAAACACGCAGAUCCAGGCCCGGAAGGAGUCUCUGUCUGGCGGAGUGGAGGCACACUGCUCCUCGGAGAGCAGCAGCUGGACACAGGGCUGCAGGCGGUGGGGUCCUAUGGGGGGGUCCCUGUGGGGGGGUCCCCGUGGGGUGCAGGGCACUGUGCUCUGGAUUCGUGGAGCGGCGUGCAUCACAUAACACCGAGGCAGGAUGACCCAUCGUCCAGCGCAGGCUUCUUGUAA
rnacentral:lncRNA from 1 species